UACGUAGGUGGCAAGCGUUGUCCGGAUUUAUUGGGCGUAAAGCGCGCGCAGGCGGUCCUUUAAGUCUGAUGUGAAAUCUUGCGGCUCAACCGCAAGCGGUCAUUGGAAACUGGGGGACUUGAGUACAGAAGAGGAAAGCGGAAUUCCACGUGUAGCGGUGAAAUGCGUAGAGAUGUGGAGGAACACCAGUGGCGAAGGCGGCUUUCUGGUCUGUAACUGACGCUGAGGCGCGAAAGCGUGGGGAGCAAACAGG
rnacentral:rRNA from 1 species